CGCUGCGCCCAGCCUGUUUUUCAUAAAGUUAUUUCUAAGCAGAAUGAGAAGAAAAGAUGAAAAGAAGCAAAAGCCAUCCAUGUUAAGAAACUGUUGUAAUAAUUCCACAUGAGAGAUGAAGGUCUGAAUAGCCAUGGAGCUGAAGAGAAGUAGAUUAAUUUUAUAAUUAUUUAUGAGGUAGAAUUGGAAGGGUUGGAUUAUUUGCUAGAAAUGGGGCCUCAAAGAGAAGGAAGGUUCAAAGCUAAUGUUUUGUACUCACAGCAAAAGCUUUUUGAGUCGGGCACCUGGGUGAAUGAUGGAGUCAUUUACUGAGCCAGAGAACUUUGAAAAGGCAUAGAUUUAGGGGAUGAAGGUGAUGAGCUCAGUUUGAGGUUUGAGGACAGAUGAGAAGCAGGAGACAGAAGCAGGAUAUCUGAGAACAAGAUGGCGCGAGAAGCAGGAGACAGAAGCAGGAUAUCUGAGAACAAGAUGGCGCAGCUGUGGUUUAAUGCAUGCCCAGCAUGUGAGAACUUGUCUGAAGGUUCCAGCAGGGGGCGCUAUGACUCAUGACCGUGCCUCUAGCUGGGCUCCUCAUGCUUUUCAUCCAAGCAUGUGGCCUCAAGAGAGAUGCCUGGAUAGAAAAGAGAAAGGAGACACACCCUGGUGAUGACUUGGAUGACCAAUGACACAGCCAGAUGACCCUCCCAUACAACAACCCUGAACAGGGACACUGAAGGCUCAUUUGCAUCCUUGCUCUAACAUUCACUACACGACUGACUUUGGGUGGCUCAUUUAACCUCUCUGAAUCUCACUUUUCGUGUCCUUUUAUGUGGAUAUAGUGACCCCCAUCUCACUGUGGAAGAUGCAACAGUUGAAAGAAAUGGAGCCUGUGAAAGCACUUUGUGAACCCCAGAGCCCCCUCCCCACCGUGGCCUGCCCAGUACCUCUUGCAGCUUUUGGUCUUCAUGGGUCAUGGAGAGCAGCACGGUGCUGUUGCGCACCACGGGGAUUUCCUGCCAGAGGGAGCCGCUGGAGGCCAUGGAGAGCCGCUGCAGGUACGACUCGGAGGAGACCAGGGCCUUCCGAGGCUGCCGCGGAGAGCUAGGCCCGGGUGUCUCGGACAGGCUCUCCAGCCGCUGCUGGCUCUGGAUCUCCUUAUUCAGGACAACAUCACUAUACUCCUGGUAAAGCAGCUGGGCUGCAGGGCAAAGAAGCAUGGGAAGGAAGAGAAGCAGGAAGAAGGGACGGUGAGCGGAGGCAGGGAAACAGAUCUUCUGCAAUGCCUUCUCGCUAGGGACAUCCCCACCCCACUGCUGACAUCCACAAGCCCCUCUCCAGUGCUGGGCAGAAUGCCCACCUGGGUCUAUAGUUCCACUUCAAGGUACUCACAGGAGUUGAUGAGUUUGGAGCAGCGUCUUGAAAAGCCUCCCAUCACCUCCUUUGGUUUUUUCUCCC